rnacentral:rRNA from 1 species
CGGCUGCUUACCAUGCAGUCGAGCGAUGAAAUCCCUUCGGGGAUGGAUUAGCGGCGGACGGGUGAGUAACACGUGGGUAACCUGCCUCAAAGAGGGGGAUAGCCUCCCGAAAGGGAGAUUAAUACCGCAUAACAUUAGUUUUUCGCAUGGAAAACUAAUUAAAGGAGUAAUCCGCUUUGAGAUGGACCCGCGGCGCAUUAGCUAGUUGGUGAGGUAACGGCUCACCAAGGCGACGAUGCGUAGCCGACCUGAGAGGGUGAUCGGCCACAUUGGAACUGAGACACGGUCCAGACUCCUACGGGAGGCAGCAGUGGGGAAUAUUGCACAAUGGGCGAAAGCCUGAUGCAGCAACGCCGCGUGAGUGAUGAAGGCCUUCGGGUUGUAAAGCUCUGUCUUUUGGGACGAUAAUGACGGUACCAAAGGAGGAAGCCACGGCUAACUACGUGCCAGCAGCCGCGGUAAUACGUAGGUGGCAAGCGUUGUCCGGAUUUACUGGGCGUAAAGGAUGCGUAGGCGGAUUUUUAAGUGAGAUGUGAAAUU